rnacentral:rRNA from 1 species
UUGGAAACUAGUAUGAAUGGUUUAAUAAAGUUAAUUAGUUUGUGUUUUAAGUAGUAAAUUAAAGAUAAAGUAAGAAUUCUUUAAUUAAUUAGGGGACGAUAAGACCCUAAAAGCUUUAUGAUUAGUGUGUAUUUAAUUGUAUUAGUUAUAAUAAUUUACUGGGGCAGUAGUUUUUUACAGAUAAAAGAAUAAAAAAAGAUCCUUUAAAUAAAGAUUUUAUGGAUAAGUUACUUUAGGGAUAACAGUGUAAUUUAUUUGAGGAGAAAGUAUCUAUAAGUAAGUUUGCAACCUCGAUGUUGAAUUAGAAUAUCUACAUGGGCAGAAUAUGUGAAAGAUAGUUUGUUCAACUUUUAAAUUUCUACAUGAUCUGAGUUCAAACCGG